rnacentral:lncRNA from 1 species
UUAAAGUUGGGCAAAUAGAACUAAUUUGGUAACUAGACUUUACUUGAAAAAGAUAACUCAACAUACGUGUGCGUGCAUGCCCAGAAAGAGUUACAUGUGUGUGUGCAUGCAUGCUUAGAGAGAGUUACACACUCACCCAUAUGCCCACAUACACACACACACACACACAAAGCUCAACUAUCUUUCUCAUUUAAGGGAAAAAAACAAUACCUUCUAAUAAUGUUAAGAAGUGCGGAAAAGAAACAGGUCAGAUUUGGGUUCAAGAACCAGUUUUAAAUCAUUUAUUCAAUAUGUGAUAGAUUAAUAACUUGUUGAAUAUAAUGUAUUUAUAGUGUACAAUCUUUCUUUCCUUUCUUAAUAUAGGUCACAUAUAUGGUAGUUAGUUCAACCUAACCUUGUAUAUAUAUUUCUCUAUUAUAAGAAGUUAAUCAUAUAUAUGAAUGAGAAUUAAGGUUUUCUCUCUCUCUCUUUCAACAUGGUAUCAGAGCCAAGGGAGAAAACUUUAUUCUUUCUGGUUUCCCCGUGUAAUUAAUUCCGGGAAUCCGUCCAGUGACCGUGUUUCAUUCCGGUCACCUUUUCCAUCUCCCAAAGCAUUCCGGUCAACCAUAUCGUGGUCAGAAAACCCUCAUCACCGUCAACAUUUUUUCGGCGAUAUUUUUCGGCGACUCUUGUUUUCCGACGAUAUUUUCCGACACUAACCACAUCAUCAAGAGCGCAAAAAGGAGAUCUGCAACUUUUUUCAAAGCACUGGAGCCAAAAAAACCGAUCCACGCGCCUCCCACGCGCCUUUUUUCUCUGGCGACCUGAAUCCCACACGCCGACGCGUGAGGGCGCGUGGCCCACUUUCUGGUGCCGAGCUUCUACCAGCAGGCUUGUCUAGCGCCAUCUUGCACUUCUACGCCUCCGUCAGUCCUCUCCGAACUCUGCUUCUCCAUUUUUUUGGCAUUUCAGCCUCCUCCGGCCUCCAACAGCAGCUCCCUUCCUUGGCCGAGACCUGUGUGUGCCUUGGGAAGGCCUCUUCUUCAUCUCUAGUCACUUUUCUCCUUUGUUUGGGUCCCGACAUACCAGGUUCUUCUUCCACAGCUAUGAUCCGACCUUCCUUUAGGGUUUUCUUCAAUCCAAACGUGAUUCAAUCUUAGGUGAAGUGGAUAUGGCGACUAAAAAUCCUAUUUUUACAUCCGUCAUCUCUGGAUCUCCUACUAUCACAUCGGAAAAAUUGAUUGGUAGUGAUUAUGAUGCCUAUCUCCGAUAUUAGGCAGCCACAUCAGCUUCUGUUGCUUCUGUUGCCCAUACCGAUAAUGUCUCUGUCUGCUUUACUCAGUCUCCUUCUCUUGGCCCAUGGAUUCUAGAUUCUGGAGCAUCUGAUCAUAUCUCUGGUAAUAAACACAUUUUCUCCUCUAUUACUACUACCUCUACCUUAUCUACCGUUACUUUAGCUAAUGGUUCCCAAACUAUGGCUAAAGGUAUUGGUUUGGCUCAUCCUCUCCCUUCCCUACCUCUCCAUUCUGUCCUUUAUGCCCCUGAGUGUCCUUUUAAUCUUAUUUCCAUCAGCAAAACAACUCGCAUUCUUAACUGUUCUAUCACUUUUUUUUAUAAAUCUGUGAUCUUGUAGGACCGGAGUACGGGGAAGACGAUUGGCAUAGGGCAUGAGUCUCAAGGCCUCUAUCACCUCACAUCAACUUCAUCUCCUGCAGCUUACAUUUCCACCGAUGCUCCUCUUCUCAUUCACAGUUGUCUGGGUCAUCCUAGUCUCUCCAAGUUCUAGAGAUGGUCCCUCGUUUUUUCCACUUUGUCAUCACUUGCGUGUGAGUUGUGUCAGCUUGGGAAACAUACUCGUGUCUCGUUCCCAAAGCGUUUGAAUAAUCGGGCAAAGUCUCCUUUUGAACUUGUCCACACUGAUUUUUGAGGUCCGUUUCGGACCGCGUCUACUUUAGGAUUUCAGUAUUUUUUCACUUUCAUUGAUGACUAUUCAAGAUGUACUUGGUUAUUUUUUAUGAAAAAUCGAGCUGAGUUAUUCUCUAUUUUCCAGAAAUUUUAUACUGAAAUCCAAACGCAAUUCAAUGUUUCUAUUCGAGUGUUACGCAGUGACAAUGCUUGGGAAUAUUUUUCUACACCCUUUACUUCUUUUAUGUCCCAACAUGGGAUCCUCCAUCAGUCAUCUUGUGCUCAUACUCCUCAACAAAAUGGGGUUGCUGAACGUAAAAAUCGACAUCUUGUUGAGACAACUCGUACCCUCCUUCUCCAUAGUCAUGUUCCGUUUCGUUUUUGGGGGGAUGCUAUUCUUACAGCCUGUUACUUGAUUAAUCGUAGGCCCUCAUCUAUAUUACAUGACCAAAUCCCUCAUUCCCUCCUUUUUCCUACCCAACCUCUUUAUUUCCUUCCUCCUCGUGUCUUUUGUUAUACUUGUUUUGUUCAUACUCUCACACUUAGACAGGACAAGCUGUCCGCCAAGGCUACGAAAUGUAUCUUCUUGGGAUACUCUCGAAUCAGAAGGGCUAUCGUUGUUAUUCCCUUGACACUCAUCGUUAUUUUCUCUCCGCUAAUGUCACCUUCUUUGAGGACUCUCCAUUCUUCUCAUCCUCUGAAUCUCUUCCCAUUUCUGAAGUAUUGCCACUUCCCUAUAUAUCCCCCCCUUCAGAUGCGCUCUCUUGUCCUCUUCAGGUUUAUCAUCGUCGACAUUGUGUUGUUGCUCCUCCUCUCUCUUCAGCUAAGGUACCCGAUGACUCACCUCCUGUCCCACCAAUUUCUCCUACCCCGGCCCUGUCAUCUACUGACCAUUUGCCUAUUGCUCUUCGGAAAGGUAAUCGAUCUACUCGUAAUCCUCAUCCUAUUUAUAAUUUUUUGAGCUACCAUCGAUUAUCUUCAUCCUAUUCUACCUUUGUCUCUACUUUAUCCUCUAUUUCUCUUCCUAAGAGCACUAGUGAGGCACUUUCUCAUCCUGGGUGGCGACAGGCAAUGGUUGAUGAAAUGGCUGCUCUGCACUCCAAUGGCACAUGGGAUCUUGUUUCUUUACCUCCUGGUAAAUCUACAGUUGGAUGUCGUUGGAUCUACACUGUUAAAGUUGGUCCUGAUGGUCAGGUUGACCGCCUUAAGGCCCGCUUAGUUGUUAAAGGUUAUACUCAGAUUUAUGGUUGUGAUAAUGGUGACACCUUUUCUCCUGUUGCCAAGAUUGCUUCUGUUCGCUUAUUUCUCUCCAUGGUAGCUAUGUGUCAUUGGCCUCUUUAUCAGUUGGAUAUUAAGAAUGUUUUCCUUCAUGGUGAACUUCUCGAGGAAGUGUAUAUGGAGCAACCACCUGGUUUUGUUGCUCAGGGGGAGUCUGGUUUAGUGUGCAAGUUACGCCGCUCUCUAUAUGGCUUGAAACAAUCUCCUCGGGCAUGGUUUGGGAGUUUAAGUUCAGUUGUUCAAGAGUAUGGAAUGCUUCAGAGUGAAGCAGAUCAUUCAGUUUUCUAUCAUCAUAACUCUUCGAGCCAAUGCAUCUAUUUGGUAGUUUAUGUGGAUGACAUUGUCAUUACAGGCAGUGAUCAGGAAGGUAUCCAAAGACUAAAGCAACACCUUUUCAACCACUUUCAAACCAAAGACUUGGGCAAACUCAAGUACUUUCUGGGACUUGAAAUAGCUCAAUCCAGUUCAGGUGUGGUUAUGUCACAAAGGAAGUAUGUCUUAGACAUCUUGGAAGAAACAGGUAUGUUAGAAUGUAAACCUGUUGACACUCCUAUGAAUCCAAAUGUCAAACUUGUACCAAGACAAGAGGAGCCUCUAAGAGAUCCUGGGAGAUAUCGACGACUUGUAGGCAAACUGAACUACCUCACCAUCACUCGGCCAGACAUCUCUUUUCCUGUGAGUGUGAUUAGUCAAUUUCUACAGUCACCAUGUGACAACCAUUGGGAUGUUAUGAUCCGCAUUCUUCGAUAUAUUAAAAGAAUACCAUGUCAAGGUAUGUUGUAUGAAGACAGGGGUCAUACCCAAAUUGUUGGUUACACAGAUGCAGACUGGGUUGGUUCACCCUCAGAUAGGCGUUCCACCUCAGGGUAUUGUGUUUUUAUUGGAGGUAACUUAAUAUCCUGGAAGAGUAAGAAACAAGAUGUAGUGGCCAGAUCAAGCGCCGAAGCUGAGUAUUAAGCUAUGGCUUUGGCAACAUGUGAACUCAUAUGGUUGAGGCAACUCCUUCAGGAAUUGAGAUUUGGAAAAGAUGAACAGAUAAAGCUAGUCUGUGACAAUCAGGCCGCAUUACAUAUUGCAUCCAAUCCAGUCUUUCAUGAAAGGACCAAGCAUAUUGAAGUUGACUGUCACUUCAUUAGAGAGAAGAUCGCAUCAAGGUGUGUUGCUACAAGUUUUGUUAAUUCAAGAGAUCUUCACUAAAUCUCUCAGAGGUCGUAGGAUUAAAUAUAUUUGUAACAAACUUGGAGCAUAUGACAUAUAUGCUCCAACUUUAAAGGGAGUGUUGAAUAUAAUGUAUUUAUAAUAUACAAUUUUUCUUUCCUUUCUUAAUAUAGGUCACAUAUAUGGUAGUUAGUCCAACCUAGUCUUAUAUAUAUAUAUUUCUCUAUUGUAAGCAAAGUUUUUAAAGGCGAAAGCGUAAGGCGAGGCGUUUUUGUGUUCGUGAGGCGAGGCGUAAGCCUCGAGGCGUUGAGGCGUAAGCUUUUUGAGCCUCACAUUAUAUAAUUAAUUAAUAUUUUAAAAUAUAUAAAAUAAAAUAGCAUAAAUAAAAACAUGAAAACAAUUCAUUAGAAUCAUAAAAAAAAACAUACUAAUUCCCUACUUUCACAAAAAACCAUAACAAAUUCAUAAAAUAGAUUAUAGAUUCAACUAUACUAAUAGUUUCAAACUUUAACAAAAAGCCAUAACUAAGUCAUGAAAUAGAAAAUAGAGUCAACCAUAAUAAUAGUUCUAAACUUUUACAAAAAAUCCAUAACUAAGUCAUGAAAUAACAACUAGAGUAAAUUGUUUCAACUUAAAUCCUCCUCUCCAAGGUCAUCAUCAUCCUCAUCCAAUGUAUCAAUAGUAGGAAAAUGUCCACUAUCAUGUAUCCCCAUUUCAUCUAUAUCUUCAUCUUCAUCAAUUGGUGUCAAAUUCAAUUCCUUCUCUUUGCCUUUGCCUCCACUUGUACCUAGCACAAAGUAUUAAUUAUGUGUAAAUAUUAAAAGUUUUUUUUAUUAAAUUUAAUCAAAUUUAUGAUUUCAAUUUUUAAGUACUUACUUGGUACUUCAUUAUGUUUCCUUUUGUAGGAAUGUGAAGAAACCAUAUGAUCCGAUGAUGCUUGCGUCUCUUGGGAGUUGGAUGACACAACUCUAAUGGCAUCAACAUUGAAUAAUUCAUUAUCUUGAAGCCAACAAAGAUCAAGGGGGAGGAGGGGAUCUUCUUUCUCCGCAAUCCAUUCAUCAUUGGAAUCAAUCUCCUCUACCAAGAUUGGAUCAACAUUUUGUUUCCUUUGUAGACUUCGCUCUCUCAAUCUAGUGUUGUACCUUACAUACACUAGAGCAUUCAACCUUUGAUGUUCAAGUCUAUUUCUUUUUUUUGUAUGGAUCUACAAAUAAUAAAAGAAACAAUUUUAUGUGUUAAAAUGAAAUAAAGUUCUCUAACAUUGAAAUAGAAAUAUAUGUAUAAAAAUUUACAAAAAUAGAAGUAUUACCGAUUCAAAUGUGCUCCAAUUUCUUUCACAUCCCGAAGCACUACAAGUAAGGCUAAGGACUCGAAUAGCAAACUUUUGCAACUCCGGUGUUAAACCCCCAAAACGCAUCCACCAACUUGUAGGACUUCUUAAUGUUCGAGAAUCAAUUACAAUACGACUCCCAAAUUCACCCAUUGCUUGGUUAUAUGAGUCCAAUUGAAUGUCAGCUUUUAAACGUUCUUGAUAAUCCAACAUCCUAUCCAUGCAUUCAAAUAAUCCCUUCCUCACCUCAUCAACAUUAGAGAACUUAUCUCCAUACCGCAAUUGAGGAUUAAGAUAAUAGCCUGCUGCAUGUAAAGGUCGAUGAAGUUGCGGAGUCCAUCUUGCAUCAAUUUUUCUCCAAAUUGGGCCAUAUUUUCUCUCCAUGCCCCGACAAUUAAAUGCAAUCUUCUCCUUAGCUGAAUCCAUCAACUCAUAAAUAUAACCCAUGGCUGGUCUUUCCUCUGAAUCAACCUUUCUCAAGACACUAACUAAUGGAACAGUGGUCUUUAUGCAAAAAGCAACAUGAGGCCAAAAAUUUGGAUCAAACAACACUAUACUUCGAGUUUUCACACCUUCUACCUUUUUAGCCCAUGUGCUUGAACACCAUUUUUCUGAGGAGAACAUUGCUAUAAGAGCUUGCUUUUGCUUAUAAAGACUUUGGAGAGUAAGAAAUGCAGUAGCAAACCGUGUAAUUGCUGGACGAAUAAGUUCAUGAUUUUUUGUAAAUGUUCUCAUUAAGCUAAGAACCCAAGUAUGCCCAUAUAUAAACUUCACAACUUGCCUAGCUCGAGAAAGUGUAGUAGCAUGAACAUUUAGCUUUCCAAUAUCCUCCAACAUCAAAUCAAUGCAAUGAGUAGCACAAGGAGUCCACCAUAAUCUACUCCUUUUUUCCAUAAGCCUCAUUCCAGCAUUCACAUAAUUAGAGGCAUUAUCAGUGAUGACUUGCACAACAUUCUCCUCUCCAAUUUCUUCAACCACCUCAUCAAGAUAUUUGAACAUAUUUUCCCCAUUUUUUAUUGUAUCAGAAGCAUCAAUUGAUUUCAUAAACCAAGUGCCAGCAGGACUAUUCACCAAAAAAUUGAUAAGACACCUACUUUUUCCAUUUGUCCAACCAUCUGACAUAAUUGAACAUCCAUAUUGUUUCCAAGCUUUUUUGUGAUCUUCCAUAAUGAUACUUAGGUCAUUCACCUCUUCUUUAAGAAUCCAUGUCCUCAAUUCGUGCAUAGAUGAAGGCUUAAACCCGGGCCCAAAGUUUGCAACAGCAUCUAUCAUAGGAAACCAAUAAGGAUCAUUCACAGUGUUGAAUGGGAGACCUUUUGAAUAUAUAAAUCUACCAAUUUUUCUACACACUUCCUUCCUUUCUUCUUGCUUCCACUUUGAAUUCAAAGUACUUUGUCUAGGUUGUGAAGUAGUAAAUUUAUCCAUGGGUCCCCUAGGAAUAGGUUCCCCACUCCCACUUACACUCCCAACUCCACUCCCAACUCCACUCCCACUCCCACUCCCUAAUGUCCCUAUUGUUUUAGACAAGGCACUCUCAUGCAUUGAAGUUGGACCCAUACCAAUUUCUUGGAGCAAUUCAUUUCUCUUUGUUUUUUUAUCCUUAAAAUUGGCCAAUGCCUCUUUGCAUUCCAAUCUAGCAUCUUCACUAACUUUGCUGCAUGGUUUCAUACCAUGAUGAGUUCCAGCUAAGUGAUGCUUUAAUCUAUUCACCCCUCCCGUACAUCUUUGAUUGCAAAAUUUACAUCUUAAAUAUUGCUCUCCAGAAACUUCAAUCACAUACUUCCACACAAAAUCUUUUCUUGAAUUUUUCGAAUCGGAGGAACUCAUUUUUAAAAAAAAUCAACAAUAAUAAUAUUCAAAUUUCCAUAUAACAAUAUAAUUGACUAAAAAAUAAUAACAAAGCAUAAUUGAAAUGAAUUUAAAAAUGAAAUACAAAAUUUAAUUGGUUUAAAUUAAAAAAAACCAAUUUUUUUUAAAGGAAUUUAAAAAUGAAAUACAAAAUUUAAUUGGUUUAAAUUAAAAAAAAAACCAAUUUUUUUUUAAGGAAUUUAAAAAUUAUACACAGAAAAUCAAGGUGAAAAUUAAAAUUAAACCACAAAUAAAAAAUUCAAAAUUAACAAAUAAUUAUCUUUAUUAAAAAAAAAAAAAAAAAAAGAUGAAAAGCCUACUGUGAGAGAGAGAAAAGUGUGGACUGCCCGAAGAGAGAGAGAAGGGGGGGGGGGGGUGGGUUUAAAAUUUAAAUAGGAGAUAGAUAUAUAUAUAACUGAUUUGAUAAAAUAAAGAAAUAAAAAAAAAAUUGGAUGAAAACCCGACGAAGCCCGUGUGGAUUGCGGAGAGGGAAACAAAGAGGGAGAAACCAGAGGGAGUUCGCAACAUACCUGGAGAUGUACGAGAGUGAUCGCCGCCGGAGAAGACGCACUGCGAUUGGUCGCCGCCGAGGGGUGAGCACUCCGUCGCCGCUUGAGUCGUUGGAGGUAGGGUUUCGUUUUGGGCUUGUUUUCAGUCGAGAGUCGGGUUUUAGGGAUUACUUAGGGCUUUUUUUAAAUCUCUGUUCAUUGCCACAUCAGAUCCGACGAAGCGUACGCCUUCUUCUUGGAGCGUGAAAGGCGCGAUCAAAGCGCGCCUCAAUCACGCCUCACCGGAAAAGCGUACGCCUUUCAAGCAUUUCGUUUUAUUUUUAACGCCUCAGGGCGUUUUCGCCGCGCCUCGCCUCAGGGCGCGCCUCACAAACGCCUUUAAAAACUUUGAUUGUAAGAAGUUAAUCAUAUAUGUGAAUGAGAAUUAAGGUUUUCUCUCUCUCUCUUUCAACACUUGUUAAUAUCAAUACA